GUUCGCAUUGGUUUGAUCCAAGUGGAACAUUUCCAUACCUACACCCCCAUUAGCAUAACAAUCCUUUAUUAAACCACUAGCUAGACGUGCAAGAUUCAACCUACACACAAGAACCCACUAGAUAGACUUCCACUGGAACCAUGCAGCAUUCUCCCGUGAUGACCUCAUUACUCAGUCUUUUCUACUGGGGUUUCUGUUUCAACCUUCUCCUCUGUUUCAACAGGCUUCUGUUCUUCCUUUACUUCUUCUUCCUUUGGGGCUUCGACUGCAACCUCCGUUUCUUCUGCCGGUGCCUCACCAGGCUCUGUAGUCUCUUUAGCCUCCUCGACAACAGGCUCUACGGGUACUUCCGGCUCCUCUUUUGUCUCCUCAGCAACCGGCUCUGGUGUUUCCUUAGGUGUCUCCUCCUCAGUUUUCUCUAGUACUGUUGGCUCUUCUGCAGCGAUCUUGUUCUCUUCGAGCACCUCUUUAGUUUCAGCUUCAGCUGGGGCCUCGGGCUCUGGUGCCACGGGCUCCUCAGAUGCUGCAACUUUCUCUGCUUCUUUUGGCUCUUCAUGAGUUACUGCCUCUGGUGCUGCAGUGACCGCUUCUUCUGUGGUGGUCUCAACCUUGAUUGGUUGUUCAUUUUUUUCCUCUACAAGUGCAUUCUGCGCUGACACAACCUGCAGGAUACGUUAUUAAAAGAAAAGAAUGCUCACCAAAAUGCUGAUGAGGUCUUACCAUUUGUUAUAUAUAUAGAGAUGAAUAUACGAGUUUUCAAAUAUGAACAUCCACGAAUUAAAGAUCAUAAUUAAGAUGGAGGUGUUGAUCUUGAUGUACAAUCCAUCAGCAUAAAACUUAUCAGAGUUAAUUAUAUAUAUAAAUAUAUUUAAUGACUUGGAAGAAGUAUAUAGAUGAAAUCUGUUAAAUAAACUUCUCAAGAGGGAGAUUAAAUCAUUCUUAGUGAAUGAGUUACCUCAACAGUGGCCAUUGGAACUAGAAGGAAAAUAAAGCACAGCUGGGAUACAAAAGAAAACUGUAAGAAGCAAAAAGGUAGGAGUGAUUAUCACAGAAGAGGAUGAAGAAAUUGCUUUGAAUAUUUGAUGCAGAGUACGAGGGUGUAUUUAUAUAGAGAUGUAGGGGGCUCACUCGAGCGAGCGAGUGAGUGAGUGAGUGAGUGAGAGAAGAGAGCUACCGUUCGAGGAAUCUUGGGAUUUGAGACCACAGCUGAUGUCAUUAAAGAAUCGAUGGAAGUGAAUUGCUUUUUAGAAUAUAAUAUUUUUUAUUUAUAAAUAUAUUAUAAUAUUAAAAAGAUAAAAAAAAAUUAAAUUUUAACAAAUCUCCAUUUGGGCACACGAUUUAAUUUGAAAAAGCUAAAAUAAUGGAGGCCAUUUUCAUCUUAGCCAUCAUCUUCUUUUGGUCGUGUGUGCUGAUGUGCUUUGUGCAGUCGGUCACCUGAUUAUCAUUCAUUCAUGUUCUCAACUUGCCAUUCGUCCUUAACAACUCCUCCCUUUUUUUUUUUCUUUUUUUUUUAAGGAUAAAUGAAUUAAUUUUUUAAGAAAAUAAUGAAAAUAAUUUGUCAAAAAUUUUAGAAAUAAAAAAUUCCAUCAAUGCUGGGUCACUAAAAUUAUUAAUAAUAUUUAAGAAAUAAAAGCAAUUGACCAAAAGAACUUUCAAAAAAAGCUAUCUUUAUUUUUUUUUAAUAUUUCUCAAUAUUUGCUUGCACUAUAAACUAGUACUGUGAUUUUCUCAUGUUAAAUAAUAAUAAUAAUAAUAAUAAUCACCCUUAACCAAUAGGCAUAAUUUACUUCAAACAAACGAAUAAAACUCUGACGUGGAAAUUUAAGUUGGUCCCACGCUCUCUAUCGGCCAUUGCUUCAUCAAUUAUGGUAUUUCAUAAAAAUUUUAAUUUUUUUUAAAUAGUUUUAAUAAAUUAAUAUUAAAAAUAAUUUUUAAAAUAAAAAAUAUUAUUUUAAUAUAUCUUUAAAUUAAAACUACUUUAAUAAACAAGCUAUCACAUUAUCAAACGCUAUUUAAAGUCGGCGGAUCCCACGAGAUGCAGGGAUAGCAACAUUAGUGAAGGACUGGAUCAGCUGAGCUGGAGUUGGUGGACGGCCAUGUCCACGGAUUUCGUAGCUGUCCAUUACGUGUCAACAGUUUUUUUUUUUUUAUUAUUUUCUUCUACUUUUCCAGAUGGAUCCAAGCCUCCAAAAACGAAACAUUGGCUACAGUUUGAAAACUGUUAAAAAUGUUAAGAUUAACAAGACUAUCAACAUCAUAUUAAGUCAAGGAAUGUCAAUUUAUAAUUACGAGAGAUGUAGCUCAACCGGUUAAUAUCUAGAUUUGUUAUUUAAAAAUCACUAGUUCGAAUCUCACAAACCUUUAAACCACUAAAGACUUAUUUGAUUGUUAACUUCAGAGCGUGGCAUUAGUCGAGGUGCGUAUAAGUUAGUCUGAACACCCACGUUAAUAAUAAUAAUAAUAAAAAUGAUCAAUUUAAUAAGAUUAAUAAUAAUAAUGUAUUUAUCAAUAACAUUAUAUAAUUAUAAAUUGUUGAGAGUUCUUUUCUCUUUACAUGUUAUCAAAGCUUCAUUAUAUAUUUUCUCACACCAAAUCUUCCUUGAUUUUUCACAAAACUAGAAAUUUUAUCCUUACCGAAAAUGCAAUGACAUGAUUUUAUCCUUAAUUAUAAAUUUUUCACACCAAAUCUUUCUGACAACAUUUUAUUUUUUUACCACUGCCCAGGAUGUCAAAAAAGACCUUCAGGAUCGUCUUUCUCAGAGCAAUACUCCUUAUAUUUUUCAGAUAAAAAGAGACAUAACUUAUCUCAGUACUUAAGAUCAUAUGAUAGUUGCAGCUAGCGCUUACUAUAAAAAAACUUGAAAAAUUACGGGAUAAUCUGGGCUCCUAUGAUGACAUUGUUCGCUCUUUGUGAGACAGACCAUAAGAAAUGUAAAUUGAAGCCCUUUUUUUAUGGGACUCAAUGACAUAUUCUUUGAUAAAUAUGCUAGAUUUUGCUAAGGCAUACUCAUCUAUUGUAUAAGAAGAGGAGCAACGAAGCCUAGGUGUCGCACGCGAGGUAACAAAGGUCUUAGCCAUGGCCAUUUGAAGGGGUGAACCGAUAGCUCUGGGUAUCCAAAUUUUAAAAGUUCCUCUUCCUCGUCGCUAUUGAAAAAUACUUUUACAUCAAAUAUUUUACAUGUAAACAUUUUUUAAUGAUAAUAAUACUGAAAAAAAAAAUUAUGGUGAAGGUGAAGAUGUUGGUGUUGACAUAAUAAUAAUGAUGGAGGUGAUUGUGAGGUAAUUAGGGUAAUAGUAAAAGAAAAUAUAAUGGUGCUGGAGGAGGAGGUUGUGAGAUGGUGGUAGUGCUGAAAAAGGAGAUGGUGGUAAAAUAAAAAAAUAGUUAAAAUAAUUUUAUGAUAUUGUAAUUGAAUUACUACCAUUCAUAAAAUAUUUUAUAGAAUUUUAUGAUGUGAAAAUAUAUUAUAUCAAAUGAAUUAAAUUUGAAAGUUAACUGUAAAAUAUUAUAUAUCAAUCAAUUUUUUUUAUAAAAUAUUUCACGAGAAAUAAAUAUAAAAAAAUAUUUUUUUAAAAUAAACACAAAAAAAAAUUAAAAAAAUAUUUCCCUGUAACAGGAAACAAACAGACCGAUAGUCCUAAAAUAUUUUACCGAGCCAUAAUAGUACUUUUGGUUAACAUUAGAUAACAAAAAUGACGAUGAUAAUGUAUCUCAAAUCUUCUGAACCCUAACAUGUUGCAUUUAAUUAACUCAUCAUCAACAUAAAAUUGAUGAUGUAGGAUCACGUGAACCCUUCCUGUAAGAAUAAUAGCAGCAUGCAUUUUUGUGUACGGAUCAACAAUUGGGAACGGGCAUCGUUAAAAUCCGACAUUACCACCGUAAGGCGAUAAUGCCAUGAAUUUUGUAUAGUUUUUUGUGGAUCUCCAUGCCAAUAAACCCUAAUUGAAAACUUCGUACGGUAGCAGGCACCCAUUUCUACAUCGAGAUGCGUUUGCAGCAUGGAAUGAUUGUUGCUCGUCGUGCCGUUUCAUUUCAUUCCCCAAAUAGAAUAGGGGAGAGCUACAAGAACUCGAGAAGUCUCCUGUGAAAGGAGCUGUUCUGAAAGGUGUAAAGGGCUUGUCUUUUAGGUCUUGGUUCAGGUUUUGGGCGGUGGGCUAGGCUACAAAAGUGGAGCCGAAGUGGGGUUACAGUACACCAAUGAGGUGAUGCCAGGUGUAAUACACGCCACCGGCCACAUGGGAUGAUGCUGUAUCCAUGUCAUGUCGGAUGGAACAAGGUCAAUUGGAUUUCAAAAGAGGUGGGUCCCCGGGAUGAUGAUGAACCAUGGAGGUUGGUGGAAAGGAUGAAACUUUUGGAGGAGCAACCUGUCUCCGUCGAGUGACAGUCUCUUGGAAGCAAAUGUUUUGUGUUCAACGAUAUGGAUGAUUGCUAGCUUGGUAUUUUGGAAGCAAGAUCCAGAUUUUGGAGUUAAAUCAAGCUUAGUCAUGUUGCACCAUUUGCCUGUUUUAACCUCGCCAUGUGAGCUCAUCAUAGACAAAUGGUAGGUAUUAUGAUCAGUGGAGCUGGGAAGUUAAGAGGUUUAAUCAAAUCUUAGGACCUAAGAUAAUUUUCUUGCAAAUCCCUUUUCAUAGCCAUUAUUAAUCCUACGAUUUUCGCAACUAAAAACUAAACUGUUUGUGAAGGUUUGGCGCUACUAAGGAUUUGGUUUGUUCACCUUGUUAAGUCAUGUUCAUGUUGUAUCAAACCUUAUUGUAAAAUUGGAGCUAAACAUUACUUGAUAUAUGCCCUUUCAACCUUUUUCUUGUGAGCAUCCAAAUCCUUUAAUUCUACAAGCAUAACAAGUUUUCUUGAUAAUGUAUAUUGUUCAUGUUUAAGUGAUUGUGCUACAAGUUCCAUGGGGUAAUAUAUAUGAGAUCAAUGUUUUAAGUCAAAGUAAAUGGUAAGGCUUCUUAGACAAUAUUAUGUGAAGUUUAAUAUGCUUAUAAUAAUUCUCAUGAUAAUGAAUCUUGCCAAAUCUUAUGAUUGUUUUGAUUAAUUUAUAUGUUAAGGAUCAUAUUUUUAUUGGUUGAUUUCACUUGCCUAUUAGCCAAAGCAUAAUAAGAAGUAUAAUGAAUUAUUAUAUCCUCCAUGGUGAAUGUCAUAAUUUACUUUUUUACCCUUCUCAAGUAUAAAAAAAGGCAAAACUUAUUUCAAUAAAAAAGAAAAUAAUACACACACACACACACACAUAUAUGUAUACACUACACCAUUAAUCAGUUUUACCGACGGACUCAUUCCGUUGGUGACAGGAAUGAACUCCGUCGGUGAAAUAAUUACCGACGGCCUUACUGACGGAACACGUCCGUCGGUAUAAUAGUCGUCGGUAAUUUCCCUUUCCAUCGCUAAUUCUGUCGCAAAUAAAAAAAACAACCCACCGACGGUCUUACAGAUGGAUACGCGCGCCAAAGAAAAAAAAUUUCUGGCGGGAACAUUACUGACGAAAUCAAUCCGUCUGAAUUUUCAACGGUAAUUACCGACGGACAAUCCGUCGGUAAUUAUGGUAUCGGUGGUAAUUGUGUGGCAACUCUCUGUGAAAUACCGACGGAUAAUAUCCGUCGGUAAAGUCGUCUGUAUGUUAUCACCGACGGAUAGUAUCCGUCGGUAAUGACGGCAUGGCUGGUAAUUGUUUGGCAACUCUCUGUGAAUUACCGACGGAUAAUAUCCAUCGGUAACGCCGUCGGUAUCUAUUUAAAAUAUAUAAAAAUAAUAAUUUAUUAAUAGUAAAACUCUAAUAAACAAAUAAAAUUGGGUUAAACAUUAAAAAUAUUAAAAUAAUGUUAAAUAAUAUUCAUCCAAAUAUUCAUUACAAAUUUAAUGUGUUUAAAAAACAAAAUUAAACUAGGAUAGCGGCGGAGCUGGAGGAGGAGGAGGAGGAGGAGGCUGGUUGUUCCCGGGACCGUACGACCAAAAAGACCCUGCACAAGUAUCAUCACUCAUCUUUGAUCUCAUCUCCAUGACUAUGUGACGAAGCUCAUUAUAAUUCGUCGAGAGUUGUUGGUAUUGUUGUUUCAAGGCAGUGAGCUCCUCAGACCGGGUGCUCGAUACUGAUGGAGUGCUCCCAACGGUUGAGACACUACGAGCCGAACGCAAGUUUUCAGCCGUAGUGUUGGAGAGCCUGUAGACCCGAUUUUUAUCAGGUCCACCAGACGAUCCCACCUCCAUCCACAAAUCUGGAUCGAAAUCUGGAUGGGUCGAGGAUUGUUCCCAUAUCUCUCCCUCAACCGGCUAUUAUAGGUCUCUUGAAAAUUUUUAAAAAAAUCAUCAUAUGCAAUUCAAGAUGCAAUUCAAGAAAAUAAUAACUUACAAAAUAAAAUGAAUGAACGAACAUACCACAAAGUGCUGAGCACGGUUGUCCACAAACUGCUGCACCCCCUUUUGGCGGUCUUGACUCCACACAUGCAUCUCUACAAACAGCUCCAUUGGACUCGGCUCACGUCCAAGAGACGCAGCCUGUAAGGAAAAAAUAGGUUGAAAGUUAUUUAAUAAGGAACGACAAAUUAAUUAACGAUAUAUUUCAUUAAAAUUAAUCUUACCAUUCGCUUUGCAUGUGCGUUGAAUGGGAGGGAUCUGCCAGUGUGCGUGGUCACCGAACCAUGAAUUUGCCGGUUCCAGUUGUCGGCGCCGGACUGUGAGCGCCGUGAGAACCGCUCUAAGGUCACGUGCUCAAUAUAUGCCGUCCAUAUUUCCCCUGAGAUGAAUGGCAGUUUGAAUUCCCGUCAAACCGCCACCUCAUUCCAUCCUUCAAGACCGUUAUCCCUCACGUUUCUUUUUGAUUUUUUUUGGUGUCAUACCAAAAAUCACGCAACCUACUUCCAUAGUAACAAAUUAGAAUUUAAAACAUAAAAUUAUAAAACAAAAAUAAAUAUUAUUUUCGAUGUUACCUAGUUGCCGCGUGAUUCUCCCAUACCCUCCUCACAACAUUGUUGUUCGCCCUAUCCCACUCAAAUUUGUUCUGUGUAUAUAAAUAAUUCAUAUAAAAUAAAAAUAUUACAAGAUAUAAAAUUAUAAAAAUUAUUUAUUAAAAAUAAGCUAAAAAUUAAAAACUAACACCGACCUGAAAUCGCUUAAACCAUGCAUCGAUAUUAGGUUUCCACUCAGGAUGUUUGGAAACCUUGCUCCAUUGAAACAAUGGAAUCUCCAUCGACGAUUUAAACGCCAAUGUUAUAGCCCUUGCAGCCUCAAUGUUUGUGAACCUGAAAUUAAAUAAAAGUAAUAAUAUUAAUUAGUUGUUCAUAAAUUAUGUUAUAAGUAUAUAUAAAAAAAAGUAAAACCUAAACAAACUUACAUUGAGAGGUCAUCCUUCCAUUGUGCCUGGUACUUGCGGGUGAAUUGACCCCGCUGUGAAGGCACACCGCUUCUGCGCUGUGAAACCGCGCUAGAAGAGGCAGCAGCAUCACAAGUUGGCGUAGAUUCCUCGUCGUGAUCAGCACCUAAGGAUACGUCCUCCUCGCUGCUAGAAUAACUAGCUGCAACCGUCUUCUGACGACGUGCUGUAGAUUUCAUUCUACACAUCUACACAAAUUUAUACGAAUAAUUACAUAAUUAACUUCGAUUAUUUUUAAAAAAAUUCGACAGAGUCUCCCCUAUACUGGGGGGUUCCAAGUUAUCGACAAAAUCAUAUUACACUUCCAAUUUUAUUUCACAUCCCGAUCCAACCAUCCUGGAUCUCAACCCAACUCAUCAUCAACACAAAACAUCUUAUUCAAUAACAUCAUAAAACGAAAUUCAAGUAAAAGAAUCAAUUUCAACUAUGAACAUUCAUUGUUAAAUUGGUACUUAGAGUUACAAGCAAUAACAAUGACAGGUAAACAAUAAUAUCCUAAAUUAAGGUAAACUAAUUAAAUGUAUAAAUUAAUAUUUUUAACAUAAAUUCAACAAUAACAAUUAUAGCAAUACAAACAAUAAUAUCAUAAAAUUAAUAAAUAAAAUGAAAAAACUAAAAAAACACUAUACAAAACAACCUAAACACAAAACAAACAAUACACAAACCUAAAAAACACUAUAUCAAUUCAAAAUAAAUUUGGGAAUAAAAAAUGCUUACCUUAAUAGUGUGUUGAAUUUAAGAUUUUAUCUACAAACAAUUCACAAAACAAAGAACACCAAAAAAAAAAUCAUGAUUAAAAUAAAAAAAAUACAAAGAUAAAGAAAAAAGAAUACAUACCUUUUAAAACUACCACCAAAUAGGGGUAAAUCUCUUAAAAAAGCCAAAUGCAACCAAAUGAACGGAGAAGAAAAAAUGAAGAAGAAACGGAGCCAGAGAAAAAAUGAACCAAAUGGGGGGAGGGGGGGUUUUAUAUGGCAAUUUUUUCGACGGAAUUACUGACAGACAUUAAUUGUUGUCGGUUGCAUUAAAUUCCGUCGGUAAUACCGUCGGAAAUUAAUUGAAAUGCGCACAAAAAAAGUUUGAAAAUCCCGCCAGACUUUUCGAUCCGUCGGAAAAUCCGUCGGUAUUUGUGCAGACGGACACGUGUCUGACAUGCAUGCGCUUCGGGAUGUGCGUAAUUUUGUCGGAAAGACGUCGGUGUAGCCGUCGGUGAUUGUGGCACAAUCCCGUAAAUGUUUUGCAACUCUAUGGUCCGUCGGUGACUUCGUCGGUGAUUGUGGCACAAUCCCGUAAAUUUUUUGCAACUCUUUGUGAAAUACCGAUGGGUUUUAGUCCGUCGGUGAAAGUGGCACAAUCCCGUAAUUUUUUUUCAACUUUCUGUGAAAUACCGACGGGUUUAGUCCGUCGGUGAAACCGUAAAUUUUUCUUAUUUUUUUGUGUAACCGUGUCACAAAAACUUGAAUUGCAAUCUUACAGCACACGCAGCACAAUAACAAGAGUUGACCAUUAAAGAAGAAUAAAUAUUUCAUGUUCCAAAUUAUUACAUUAUAAAAAUAAGGCUUUAGAACAUGUUUAGUUAGUCGGAAUUUUCAUCUUCGUCCUCAAUUGAAUUGUUAUCAUCAGCUUCAUCGCACUCUUCAAUUUCGUUAUCAUCUUCUUCAACAACAUUCUUUUGUUCACUAGUAGAACUCAGAACAACAUUCAACUCCUCUACGUCAACAUCAACAAGACUAUCGUUGAAAACACGAAAAUUCAAAUUUUCUUCUAAGUCAAUCAAAGGAGCAACUCGGUAUGGUUCAACCAACUUACUAGCUUGAAAGACUUCAUCUAUCACACUUGUAUCUUUGUUCUCAUCCUGAACAACCUCGACACGACCCUUGGGUUUUGUUUUUAAAACGGAUAACCAAUCAACUCUUGAUCGGUCCUUUCUAAAGGAAGGGGUGUAUGUGUAAUAAACUUGUUGGCAUUGCUUUGCGAAAACAAAGACGUCAUUUACGUUACAGUGUUUAGCUUUUGAGUUGAUUUCAACGAGACCAUAGUGAGGAUCUACUCUGAUUCCUCUGUUAGUUGUGUCAUACCAAUAACAUUUGAAUAAAAACACUCUAUUCUGCUCGCUAUGAUAUUGCAGUUCGAUGACCUCUUCCAAUCUACCGUAGUAGUCAACUUCAAACUCACUAGAAGUCGAUCCCUUAAUACAAACACCGCUGUUGUAUGUCUUUCUUCCAUGCCCGUAUUCUUCAGUAUGAAAGACAUAUCCAUUGACAAAAUACCUGUUAUAGCACUUGACUUUUCUUUCAGGGCCCAAGCUUAGUAAAGACAGUGAAAUAGCAGCACUACCUCCCAUUUGAUAAACCUUGUAAAUUAAAUACAACAAUAAUUAAUAAACGGAUAUUAUGUAAAAUUGACAUACAAUUAAUUACAUUGCAAGAGAUAAUGAGUUUGUGAUAGGACUUAUAUGUGUUCUAAACCAUGUGGAAAAUUGUUCAUCUUGUAAUUGAAAGAUCUGGGAUUCGGUCAGUUGUGAGUUAUUGGACAGUAAGUAUCGUCGAUGUUGCCUGCAAGGUUGUUCCAAAUUAUAUGAGUUUAUGGUAUCACAAAACAUAAAUAAUACACUCUUGACAAAGUUUAAGUCGAACAUCUACUUACUUAAUAAAGGGUCUCAGCUCGUCACAGUUACAUAGGACAUAAUUGUGUGCUUGUCUGAACUCUAUUUCAGACAAAUAUCUUCCCCUCAUGGCAUUUUUAGGUGUGGGUCGUCCAGGAUUGGAGAAUAUUGACAAGUUCCCACUUGAAGGCACUUCACCACCAUCAUCAUGUCGUGGAACACGGUUGAUCCUCGUUCUCAAAUGAGGUUCGAAAUAGUAUGAGAUAAAUGUUGAGAACUCCUCAACAA
rnacentral:lncRNA from 1 species